ensembl:lncRNA
CUUAAAGCAGGUUGGUCUUUAUUAUCUAAUGAAUGUGUUGUACUGAAAGCUGUGCAUUAAUGUAGAACGGUGAUCAAACUGACUUGGAACUACCUGUGCAUUAAACAGUUUUAAUGCAUACCUGCCAGUCAAUCAGAAUUGAGUAUUCAAACAUGUGUUUUAGAGUUACUUUGUCAGUUGUCUGUAUUUGUUUUAAAGAUUGGGACUAAAUAACUGAGCUGAUCUAUUUUCCACAGCCUUGGCACAAAACACGUCACACAAGAGGAGAACCAUUUGAUGGAAGAAAAGAAAAAGAAAAAGCAAGAGGAAAAGAAAAAGAAGGAAGCUGCUCAGAAAAAGGCUGCUGAACAGAAAACCAAAGGUCAGUUAUGAUUUUCUUUGUGAUGCUGCAAUGAAGCAUGAAGUUAAAAAAAUGUUUAGGAUCUUCACCAUAUGCAUAAGUUUGUACCACAUGCAUUUCCUCAAACACUACUAGAGCAGCAAAACAAGAAGUUACAUGUGCUCCAGAAAUGUAAAAUGCUAACUGGCUAGUGCAUCUUUAUAAUGUGAGAGUAGAGAAGGUGUAAAGAAUACAUUUGAUC